GACAGAGGUUGCAAACGUUGUUCGGAAUUACUGGGCGUAAAGGGCGCGUAGGCGGCCUUCUCAGUCGGGUGUGAAAGCCCGGGGCUCAACCCCGGAACGGCACCCGAGACGGGUUGGCUGGAGACCGGGAGAGGAGGGUGGAAUAGCCAGUGUAGAGGUGAAAUUCGUAGAUAUUGGCUGGAACACCGGUGGCGAAAGCGGCUCUCUGGCCCGGUUCUGACGCUGAGGCGCGAAAGCGUGGGGAGCAAACAGG
rnacentral:rRNA from 1 species